AGAGUUUGAUCAUGGCUCAGAACGAACGCUGGCGGCGUGCCUAACACAUGCAAGUCGAACGGGGAUAGAUAGCUUGCUAUUUAUUCUAGUGGCGCACGGGUGAGUAACGCGUAGAUAAUCUGCCUUGGACUCUGGGAUAACAUUUCGAAAGGGGUGCUAAUACCGGAUAAGCCCACGGGGACGUAAGUUCUUGCGGGAAAAGGGGGCCUCUGCAUAUGCUCUUGAUCCAAGAUGAGUCUGCGUACCAUUUGCUAGUUGGUAGGGUAAGAGCCUACCAAGGCGACGAUGGUUAGCUGGUCUGAGAGGAUGAUCAGCCACACUGGAACUGAGACACGGUCCAGACUCCUACGGGAGGCAGCAGUGGGGAAUUUUGCGCAAUGGGGGAAACCCUGACGCAGCAACGCCGCGUGAGUGAUGAAGGCUUUCGGGUCGUAAAGCUCUGUCUAGAGGGAAGAAAUGAUAUUGGGUUAAUACCCUGAUUUCUUGACGGUACCUCUGAAGGAAGCACCGGCUAACUCCGUGCCAGCAGCCGCGGUAAUACGGAGGGUGCAAGCGUUGUUCGGAAUUAUUGGGCGUAAAGCGCGUGUAGGCGGUUUGUUAAGUCUGAUGUGAAAGCCCCGGGCUCAACCUGGGAAGUGCAUUGGAAACUGUCAGACUUGAAUACGGGAGAGGGUAGUGGAAUUCCUAGUGUAGGAGUGAAAUCCGUAGAUAUUAGGAGGAACACCGGUGGCGAAGGCGGCCACCUGGACCGAUAUUGACGCUGAGACGCGAAAGCGUGGGUAGCAAACAGGAUUAGAUACCCUGGUAGUCCACGCCGUAGACGAUGAGUACUA
rnacentral:rRNA from 1 species